UUCUGCUUGACCCUCAAACAAAGUGUCGUCUCGUUCUUGGGGGGAAUUGGAUUGUGUGCUGUUACAGUGAGACUGCCAGGAGUGUAAACUGUUCUUAUGGUUUUCCUGUUCGGCUGUUUACAGCAUUCGUGUGCUUCCUGUUCGGGAGUUUGGAGCAUUCCCCUGGUUCCAGUUCAGGAGAUUGGUGAAUUCAUGUGUUUGCAGUUCGGGAUAUUGGUGAUUGCAGUAGCUGUCUGUGCAUCUGAAAAAGGGGAAUAUCGCCUAAACGUUUUUAACCUCGUGUGUAAAACGGUCCAUUACAAUUGGUGGCAAGCGGCGGGAUCAUUCCCACAGCCCAGAAGGACAGCUACAAGGUAACACCCGUCCCUGGAUUUACAAAUUGAGGGUAACGCUAGUAUCCGUA